rnacentral:rRNA from 1 species
AGUGAACGCUGGCGGUAGGCCUAACACAUGCAAGUCGAACGGCAGCACAGUAAGAGCUUGCUCUUACGGGUGGCGAGUGGCGGACGGGUGAGGAAUACAUCGGAAUCUACUUUUUCGUGGGGGAUAACGUAGGGAAACUUACGCUAAUACCGCAUACGACCUACGGGUGAAAGCAGGGGAUCUUCGGACCUUGCGCGAUUGAAUGAGCCGAUGUCGGAUUAGCUAGUUGGCGGGGUAAAGGCCCACCAAGGCGACGAUCCGUAGCUGGUCUGAGAGGAUGAGCAGCCACACUGGAACUGAGACACGGUACAGACUCCUACGGGAGGCAGCAGUGGGGAAUAUUGGACAAUGGGCGCAAGCCUGAUCCAGCCAUACCGCGUGGGUGAAGAAGGCCUUCGGGUUGUAAAGCCCUUUUGUUGGGAAAGAAAAGCAGCAGGUUAAUACCCCGCUGUUCUGACGGUACCCAAAGAAUAAGCACCGGCUAACUUCGUG